UACCUUUGUUUUCGUUGCCUCGGCGGUUCGCGCCGCCGGGUGACACCCAAACUCUGAUUUGAUAUAGCAAGUCUUUCUGAGUAAAACAUUCUAAAUGAAUCAAAACUUUCAACAACGGAUCUCUUGGUUCUGGCAUCGAUGAAGAACGCAGCGAAAUGCGAUAAGUAAUGUGAAUUGCAGAAUUCAGUGAAUCAUCGAAUCUUUGAACGCACAUUGCGCCCGCCAGUAUUCUGGCGGGCAUGCCUGUUCGAGCGUCAUUUCAACCCUCAAGACCCCUUCGGGGGACUUGGUGUUGGGGACCGGCACAGGGCCUGCUUGCUUGUCUCGCAGCGCCUCGCCGCCUCCGAAAUGAAUUGGCGGCCUCGUCGCGGCCUCCUCUGCGUAGUAGCACAACCUCGCAACGGGAGCGUGACGCGGCCACUGCCGUAAAACAACCCAAUUUUAUUAGAGUUGACCUCGAAUCAGGUAGGAAUACCCGCUGAACUUAAGCAU
rnacentral:rRNA from 1 species